GAUGAACGCUAGCGGGAGGCCUAACACAUGCAAGCCGAGCGAGCGGCGUACGGGUGCGGAACACGUGUGCAACCUGCCUUUAUCAAGGGGAUAGCCUUUCGAAAGGAAGAUUAAUACCCUAUAGAUAAAGAUGGGCAGGCGCAAGAUUAGCUAGUUGGUGAGGUAACGGCUCACCAAGGCGACGAUCUUUAGGGGGCCUGAGAGGGUGAUCCCCCACACCGGUACUGAGACCCGGACGCGAACGCGACGGGAGGCAGCAGUGAGGUAUACUAGACAAGAGGUGCAAGCCGGAUCCAGCCACCCCGCGUGUAGGAAGACGGCCUAUGGGUUGUAAACUACUUUUAUCUGGGGAUAGGUACCAGAUGAAUAAGCACCGGCUAACUCCGUGCCAGCAGCCGCGGUAAUAC
rnacentral:rRNA from 1 species